rnacentral:lncRNA from 1 species
UCUCCUCGUCAUGAAUGGUUUGCAUCAUUUUACAUGUUCGUUGCCUCAUAACUGUUAUUACUUGUGGAGGCGCCACUUCUGUUAUAAACCUCGCUACACGUGCAUUCGCCAUUUCUUUUCUUUUUUUUCUUACAACCGAAGCGUAAUUCGAAAACAAUGAAAACUAGGGUAUUAUAUUUUGAGCUUGUAAGAAAAGUAGGAGUUGUGUGGAACUUUACGAGCCCGGUUGGUAUUUAUAUAGCUCUAUUUACGAAUUUAUUUACGACUUAUCAUUUUUUUUUAAU